CUGCGCGCUCGGCCCGGUCCUCGCUGUUUCCUCCAUCCUGGGAAUUUUUACCGACAGGUUUCACGGACCGGUGCAGCGUCGACGGAGUCAGGCGGCUGCAAGGUCGGUGUACAGCCCCGCCGCCAGGGUGUGGUCACGGCCCUCUCGUCUUGUCGGCCGGAUGAUGUAAUACGCCUACACGGCUUUGGAAUGCGGAAGUCCUCGUUGUUUACGUCCGCUCAGACUUGGCUGGGACCCCCGCGUUGAUAGAAUCCUCUGGGACGUCUCGCUAUGCGGUGCGCGUCGGAUGACGCAAUCUCCCGCCACUAACGGAUGCUCGCCCAGGAUGGGAAUUUUGGGUCGCACGAAUAAUUUAAGGCUUCAGGGUUUUCACACAACUCGAUUUAUUAAUACAUUCGCGCACACACUCACAAUGUGUGAACGUGACAAAUAAUAUAUAAUAUGUAAUUCAAUAAAACUUUAUUCACGGCAUUGCCGUUUAUUGCAAA